rnacentral:sRNA from 1 species
GCCGGGCGGGUGGCCCACGCCUGUCAUCCCAGCGUCUCAGGAGGCUGAGGCAGGAGGAUCGCAAGGUGGAGGCCAGCUUCAGCAACUUAUCGAUGCCCUGAGCAACUCAGCGAGACCCUGUCUCUA